rnacentral:precursor_RNA from 1 species
CUCUCCUCGGUUCUAAGCAAACACAAACAAACAAACAAAAAAGCAGUGAAAUCAUGAAACAGCAUCCUCGGUUCUCAACAAACCAACAAAAAUAAACCGAAACAAACAUCACAUGAAAAAUGAAAUCCUCAAUAAUAGAGGGAAGAAAGUGAAGAAAUAAUAGCGAGAACUAUAGAUCUAAUGUUUUGAAGCUAUCUCUGAGGGGAAUGAAGCCUGGUCCGAGAUCCCACGGAUGAGAGGAAUGAAAAACCUUGCACAAAUCAUCCUCAAAACCGCAAGGUGUAUGAGACCUUGAACCAGACAACAUUCCACUCAGAAGCAAAUAGCUUCAUACUAUCAAUUUUCCUUUCCCCUCCUCUCUCUCUCUCUCUCUAUCUAUCU